UACGAAGGGUGCAAACGUUGCUCGGAAUUAUUGGGCGUAAAGCGCACGUAGGCGGCAUUGCAAGUCCCAUGUGAAAGCCCACGGCUUAACCGUGGAAGUGCAUGGGAAACUGCAGUGCUUGAGUACUUAAGAGGAUCGCGGAAUUCCCGGUGUAGAGGUGAAAUUCGUAGAUAUCGGGAGGAACACCGGCGGCGAAGGCGGCGAUCUGGGUAGAUACUGACGCUGAGGUGCGAAAGCGUGGGGAGCAAACAGG
rnacentral:rRNA from 1 species